ACCUUUGUGGUGUAAAGGUUAACACACUUGACGGGCAUUCCAGAUGUCCAGGUUCGAAUCUCGGCGAGGGCA
rnacentral:tRNA from 1 species